CCUACGUGUGGCUGCAGUGAGGAAUAUUGGUCAAUGGCCGGAAGGCUGAACCAGCCAAGCCGCGUGAAGGACGAAGGUGCCAAGCAUUGUAAACUUCUUUUGUCAAGGGACAAAAUCAGGCUCGAGAGCCUGACCGAGGGUACUUUAAGAAAAAGCAUCGGCUACCUCCGUGCCAGCAGCCGCGGUACUACGGAGGAUGCGAGCGUUAUCCGGAUUUAUUGGGUUUAAGGGGCGCGUAGGCGGGCUGUUAAGUCAGAGGGAAAAGCCCGGGGCUCCACCCCGGCGAGCCGUUGAAACUGGCUGGCUUGAGAUGUCGAGAGGUAGGCGGAAGGCGCGGUGUAGCGGUGAAAUGCUUAGAGAUUGCGCAGAACUCCGAUUGCGAAGGCAGCAUACCGGCGGCGAUCUGACGCUGAGGCACGAAAGCGUGGGUAUCGAACAGGAUUAGAUACCCCAGUAGUC
rnacentral:rRNA from 1 species